GCGCAAACCAAUUACAAGCUCUUUCUCCUCCUUGUAAUGGCCGCUUCUAGGCAGGUAUUGUUCUCUACGUUUGCACAGUUUCCGAGAGCCCAGCGCUGACGAUCCCACAAAACGUCCCCAAAACCGGUCCUUCCAGAUAACAUCUGAAGUACCAGUUCUUCUCUCUAUCAAGUCCUUCAUUCAAGGCCAGCCAUGAUCGGGAACAUGGCUACUCCUGGAAAAGCUUCACAGCUGUUUUUGGUGCUUUUCUCUCUACUGAUUGGGCUUCCUGUUGUGGAAGCUUUGGAUAUGGGAGAUGCGUUAGCCCUCUUGCUGGGUAUGGUUCUCAGCUGCAUUGGAUUCUGUGUGUGCCUGGGCUUAUAUGCAAGAAAACGAAAUGAAGAGUUAUGACAUUAAGGAAGAUAUGGCACCGUCAAGUAUAUCUGUCUUGUUGGAUGGUAUUGCAGUUUAAAUGUGAGUUUCUGGAUGUUCCCAGUACUGGAAAGUGGACUGUACUUGAUCAGAAGAUUUUGGAAAAUGAGUUUUAUAGGAAGAUAAUUAUUUUGUGUUAGUAAGCUGUUACAUUGAUAGAGUAACUACUUGUUUUGAUCGAAGAGUAAAACUUAACAGGAUAAACGUGCAUAGAAAAUUGUUAACUGAGGUGCAGUGAGGAAUACCUUGAGGGAGAAGAGGUGGCCUGGGUUGAGGUUAGCGUGCAAAAAUGCUGUAUUUUUACCCUUAAACCUGCCUACAUUGCUUAGCUUCCUGUGAUGAAACAUAUGUCUAUUCUCACCUUUCCCUAGAUAAAGCUAAUGUAUUUGGGGGAUAAGUUGAAGUGUCCUAAUCAUGUGUUCGUUUUGGAUCUUCUUUGCUGUAACUGCAUUUGAACAGUUGGGCCAUUACCUCCACAAUUAUUUGGCAAAUGAUCUAAAGAGUGCCAUUCACUAAGAUUGUGUCCUUCAUCAGCUUUGUUGAAAUGAACAGGAAGCACACAAAAGGAUGGCUUUUUGCCUAGUAUUCUUCCUGUUUAUUUCAGUAGAGCUUGAGUGAAAAUGCCUUUCAUAAAGACAUAAAACCUCUAAAUUUUUAAAAGAGUUUCUACAUGUUUAAGUCACAUUGAAUUGCAAUAUUUUCUAGAUGGGUCUCUUCACUGCAUUCUUUGCAGGGCUUUUAAUAAACUGUGGGACAUGCAAAAGUAUUAAAAGGUAUUUCAAAGGUAUUCAAUGAGGUGAACCCAUUCAAAUGCUUUAUUCUUGUUCUGCCAGCCUAACCAAAUCAAUAAACUCCACAAGUUGUGUGGUUUAAAUGGUAGCAUCCAA